rnacentral:lncRNA from 1 species
AAUAACUUAAACACUUUUACUUAUGUUAAGCGAUGAAAAAUUUUCUUCCCUAAAACUGGUAAAAAAAUUCAAAUUAUCUAUUAAAACAGGCGUUUAAAGAUGAUGACAGUUAUCGAGUUAACUACCAGGGUUAAAGACCAUCCGAACAAAACAUAUAAUUAUAUCUUAAAUAUGAUAUUUUAAAUCCGAAUUUUUUUAGAGAUAGGAAGAGAAAAAACCAAAAAAGAAAGCGAAGGGAUCGGUUGGUCUCACAGAUCGAUGAGCGUAUUCGAGGUGGAAAUAGCGCUAAUAAAAUAAACAAAGCGCUUUCUGCAACAGGUUGUCAGACCUUAUGUCAAAUGUCGUCGAUAUUCCCUGCACCCCUUAAUAUAUAUGGCAUCUGCGACCAUAGGGGUUGCUAUGGAAAUGGACCAUCCACCUCUCCAUCCUCCCAGGACAGCUUCCAUCACUUAUUUAGUAUUAUUUGUCAUUAUCCGCCAAUAAAUUUAAUUUUCACACCUACUAUAUUAUUUAUAAUCUCAUUUAUUCCAAAUAAAUUUCGAAUAUUAUUAUUUUUAUUAUUCUAUUAUAAUUAUCAUUAGCGAU